GGGCGUUUAGCUCAGCGGGAGAGCACUGCCUUCACACGGCAGGGGUCACUGGUUCAAUCCCAGUAACGCCCA
rnacentral:tRNA from 2 species